AUUGAUACGAGAAAAAUUUAAAAUAUAGAAAAAAUUAAAAUGAACAACAAUACAGAUCUGCAUAAUUCCGUUGAUCAGGACUAUUCCGAAUUUCUCAGCGAGUAUUUACUGCAAAACAAUUCCCAAAGUAUCGAACCGGAAGCCAGUUACGAAGAUGGAGAAUUGGAAGCAGAGUGGUUGGUUUCCGCUGGUUAUCCAGAAUUGACAAAACCCUUCAAACAAGGGAUAGAGGUUUCUAAAACUGACUUGGAUCCCAUACUUACUACUUUAUCUAAGCCACAUGCUGAAGCGAUUGUACAACUGGUAAGGACCCUAAACAAAACGGUACGGGGGCGUACAAAAAACCGACAAAAACGGAAACCUGAUAUAAGAGAUGUAUUUCGCGAAUUUGAUCUUUAAAUUAAACAAAGUUGAUCACCAUAAAGCUGUUAAAGGGGCAGUCGGAAGAUUAAAGGAACGAAGUACAGGAACACGCUCACGAAGUGCCACACCAGAUUCUCUGGACUCUUUACAAAUUGAUCAAGUUUGGACAAACAAUUAUUU
rnacentral:misc_RNA from 1 species